rnacentral:rRNA from 1 species
GAUGAACGCUGGCGGCAUGCCUAACACAUGCAAGUCGAUCGGUAAGGCUCUUCGGAGUACCCGAGAGGCGGACGGCUGAGUAACGCGUAGGAACACACCCUGCAGUGAGGGAUAAGACACCGAAAGGUGUUCUAAUACCGCAUACGGUCUUCGGAUUAAAGCAUUUAUGCGCUGAAGGAGUGGCCUGCGUCAUAUUAGAUAGUUGGUGAGGUAAUGGCUCACCAAGUCGAUGAUGUGUAGCUGGUCUGAGAGGAUGAUCAGCCAGACUGGAACUGAGACACGGUCGAGACUCCUACGGGAGGCAGCAGUGAGGAAUAUUUCACAAUGAGCGAAAGCUUGAUGGAGCAAUGCCGCGUGCAGGAUGAAGGCCCUCGGGUUGUAAACUGCUUUUAUAAGAGAAGAUUAUGACGGUAACUUAUGAAUAAGGGACGGCUAACUACGUG